AACAACUCAAGUUAUUCUUAAAUUCAGUUCCAAUUUAAUUCAAUAAAAGUCUUUAAAAGAUACCUCAAAGUAUUUCAUUUAUGAAUUGUGCCUUUCAUCUCUUAUGAGAUAUCCUGAAACGCAGAUAAGUUUAAGGUGUAGAUCUUUAGUGAUCCUAGAUGCGACCUUAGAAACUUGUAGUGAAAGCAAGUUCGCAGUCUUCUCAUCAGAUUACUUCCGUAACAAACCUUUCACUAAAAAAGUUAAAUAUUUGAUUGAUUAUCGUGCUCGUUUACGUAAUUAUUCACCUGAUUAUGUUUAUUACACAGACACAGAUCUGAUUGAUGUAGCUGGUUUGAGCACAUUAUUUCCAAAUUUAAUAGUUGCUGAGUUUACUGAUAGAUUCCAAAGAAAAAGUUUUGUCUAUAGAUGUGCAGAUAAUUUUAGCAUUUGCGAGAAAUGAUCACUUCAUGUCGUUUAGCAAUGGAAGAAUGUUGUGAUAAACUCGAAAUGCUAGCCACCGAUUGUUCUAAGCCAGACAUACUACAAAAUUGCAUCUGUUCAAAACAAUUAAGUAUUCGAGAUGAUACUUUGUUUAAUUUGGAAAGUGAAGCACAAUAUCGACAAAAUCAUGAAAGACUACAAAUUAUCCUUAAUGACGGUUACCUCAAUGGUCCAGUAUUGAAAAAGCUCAAAGUAGUUGUAAUGCACUCAAAUGUUUCAAUCUUGGUACGACUUUUUACGGUUUCCAGUUCAUGGAUUCAUGUCCGAAUUUACAAAGUGCCCAUAUUACCAUUGAUUCUAGUACCGUGCUUGUUGAUGAAACAUUAAAACACGAAUCUUUGCAAGAUUUAGUGAUACAUUGCGAACAUUAUGGCCAAAUCUGGGACGAUCUAAAAAGAGCUCUGAUGAAAUAUCCGAACCUCGAACAUCUUGCGUUGAGGCGUCUAUGUGGCAUAGAAGAUGAAGAUAUCAAGCAAUUGGUUGACAUUUUACCCAAUCUGGUUAUAUUUGAUAUUCGCGGAGUUCGUGGAAACGCUGUAAGAGCUGCUAAUUAUGUCCAAAAUUAUUUUGAACGAAAUGGAAGAUCAACCAAAUUUUGCUUCAAUGGGAAUCACCAUGAAAUAAAAUCAGAUUGGCCUCAGUUGUACACUAAACGACAGGAAAUUUGCCGAGGCUUUGAUUUCAUGGAACGUUUCUUUCUUAAAUAUCGCCUGAUGAGUCUUGAUGGCAGAUCGAAGACCUGAUUGUCUAAUCUAAAAAGUUGUCUCUGUGAUUAAAGAAACUGAACUUUCAUAUCAAAUUAAGAAGCGGUAGAUAACUUUUUUAGAUUGUAGAGGCUUCAGAAUGAAUAGAAUGGCAAAUCGUGAAAUGUGAAUAAAUUGUACUUUGCUCACCAUGA